rnacentral:rRNA from 1 species
AGUGUGACGGGGUUACCCAAAGUGUUCAAUUUUGAACUGUGGUAGGUGAGUAAUGUUCCCUACUAGAAAGGAGAGGGCAAGGCUGGUGCCAGCCGCCGCGGUAAAACCAGCUCUUCAAGUGGUCGGGAUAAUUAUUGGGCUUAAAGUGUCCGUAGCCGGUUUAGUAAGUUCCUGGUAAAAUCGGGUAGCUUAACUAUCUAUAUGCUAGGAAUACUACUAUACUAGAGGGCGGGAGAGGUCUGAGGUACUACGGGGGUAGGGGUGAAAUCUUAUAAUCCUUGUUGGACCACCAGUGGCGAAGGCGUCAGACUGGAACGCGCCUGACGGUGAGGGACGAAAGCCAGGGGAGCGAACCGGAUUAGAUACCCGGGUAGUCCUGGCCGUAAACGAUGCAUACUAGGUGAUGGCACGGCCAUGAGCCGUGUCAGUGCCGUAGGGAAACCGUUAAGUGUGCCGCCUGGGAAGUACGGUCGCAAGG